GAAACUUUCUUACACCGAAUGCUUGCAUUCACCGUAAGAAGUUGAGUGGCGGACGGGUGAGUAACACGUGGGUAACCUGCCUAAAAGAAGGGGAUAACACUUGGAAACAGGUGCUAAUACCGUAUAUCUCUAAGGAUCGCAUGAUUCUUAGAUGAAAGAUGGUUCUGCUAUCGCUUUUAGAUGGACCCGCGGCGUAUUAACUAGUUGGUGGGGUAACGGCCUACCAAGGUGAUGAUACGUAGCCGAACUGAGAGGUUGAUCGGCCACAUUGGGACUGAGACACGGCCCAAACUCCUACGGGAGGCAGCAGUAGGGAAUCUUCCACAAUGGACGCAAGUCUGAUGGAGCAACGCCGCGUGAGUGAAGAAGGUCUUCGGAUCGUAAAACUCUGUUGUUAGAGAAGAACACGAGUGAGAGUAACUGUUCAUUCGAUGACGGUAUCUAACCAGCAAGUCACGGCUAACUACGUGCCAGCAGCCGCGGUAAUACGUAGGUGGCAAGCGUUGUCCGGAUUUAUUGGGCGUAAAGGGAACGCAGGCGGUCUUUUAAGUCUGAUGUGAAAGCCUUCGGCUUAACCGGAGUAGUGCAUUGGAAACUGGAAGACUUGAGUGCAGAAGAGGAGAGUGGAACUCCAUGUGUAGCGGUGAAAUGCGUAGAUAUAUGGAAGAACACCAGUGGCGAAAGCGGCUCUCUGGUCUGUAACUGACG
rnacentral:rRNA from 1 species